rnacentral:piRNA from 1 species
GGGUUGAGGGUGAAAAUGAGG